AACGCACAUUGCGCCCCUUGGUAUUCCGAGGGGCAUGCCUGUUCGAGCGUCACUUCAACCUUCAGGCUCUGCCUGGUAUUGGGCUAUACUGAUCAGUAGGCCUCAAAAUUAGUGGCGGCGCCGCCUGGCCCUGAGCGUAGUAAUACUCCUCGCUACUGGGUCUAGGUGGAUGCUUGCCAUCAACCCCAAUUCUUUCUAUGGUUGACCUCGGAUCAGGUAGGGAUACCCGCUGAACUUAA
rnacentral:misc_RNA from 1 species